rnacentral:tRNA from 1 species
GCCGACAUAGCUCAACGUCAGAGCAUCCGCCUUUUAAGCGGAACGAUGUGGGUUCGAGUCCCACGGUCGGCACCA